UGUAUUCCCAGUCAUGUGAAAUCCAUAGAUUAGGGCAUAAUUAAUUUAUUUCAAUUGAAGGAUUUCCUUCUGUGAACUGUAACUCAGUAAAAUUUUUGAAAUUGUAGCAUUUUAAUUUUGUUCAGCGCAGGGGAAGGAGGGAGAAGUGGUUUACUUUGAAACUGACUGUGACUAAUAUUGUUUUUCCCAAUAGCAUUCACUAGCCUAACCACUGCGACAGCUGCUCUGGUCUGCAUAAUAAUAGCAAAGUCGUCAAAAAUGUUUAAUCCCUGCCACUUUCAGAUCCACUUUCUUGUGAAUCAGCAUGAAAUGAGAGAAAAUCGGCCUCACAUCAGUCAUUUUUUAGACGUACAACUAGCUUAACCUCUGUCUUUCAAUGUUAAUGUUUAAACUUCAUCUUCGUGCUGGACAGACAAAAGGAGAGUGACACAUAUAGCACUUACUCCAUGGCUAAUCAAAUUACACAUGCAUGCACUGUCGUAGAAAAUCGAUCUCUCUUCCCCACCCCUCUCUCUCUCUCUCAUCCCUCUCUUCUGUCAGGUCCCUAUUGCUAUGAGGAUCUGCAGAGCCCUGCUGUAAGCCUGAGCCAUGAACUCCGUGUCUCCCAGUGCAGUUCAGUAUGUGGGGGGAGUAGGAGUGGUGUGUCAGGAUGACACCCUCCAGAGAGAGGAGACCAAGAGGCCUCAGCAGCCACAGCUGGUGGACCCUGGUGGAGGAAGUGGCUUUGGGAAGCGGCAGGGUACUGAUGUCGGUGGGGGUGGAACCAGAGAUGCCACCACCGCUGGAGAGCCAGACGAGGUGGACAAACUCAAGACCAAGCUGAUGUCGGCGUGGAAUAAUGUCAAAUACGGCUGGUCAGUCAAGUCGAAGACCACAUUCAACAAGAGCUCUCCGGUGACUGUAAUGGGCCACUCCUAUCUGCUCAAUAGUGAAGACGAGGUGGAGUGGUUCAGGCGGGCGUUCGUGUCUCGGCUGUGGCUGACCUACCGUAGGGAGUUCCCCCAGCUGGAGGGCUCCACCUUGACUACAGACUGUGGCUGGGGCUGCAUGCUGCGGAGCGGACAGAUGCUGCUGGCCCAAGGCCUACUGCUACAUCUGCUGCCACGAGACUGGUCGUGGCCAGACGCCCAGCAGUUCGCUGAUGUAGACUUUGAGGCUCUGAGACCCCGCUCCCCGUCCCGUGCUGGUGGUGUACCCAUCCCCUCCUUCGGCUACUCCUCCUCCUCGCGGAUCCCCACCGCGCCCCAGAAGACCUCCAUGCCAGGGGGCACGGCUCUCAACCAUACCCAGAAGAAGAGGCCCGAGUCGGGCAGGGACAGGCAGGCUGAGCCCCUCCACCGGAGGGUUGUGGCCUGGUUUGGGGAUGAGCCCCCGGCCCCGUUUGGGGUGCACCAGCUGGUAGAAUUGGGGAAGAGCUCAGGGAAGAAGGCGGGGGACUGGUACGGCCCCUCAGUGGUGGCACACAUACUACGAAAAGCAGUUGCCAAGACUUCUGAGGUUCACUAACCUGGCUGUAUAUGUAGCGCAGGACUGUACCGUGUACAAAAAGGACGUGGUGCAUCUGUGUGACCAGUCGUUGAACCAGAGUAUAUCAGAUCCUGAGCCCAGUGGUCCAGGCUGGAAGUCUGUCAUCAUACUGGUUCCAGUCCGACUAGGAGGAGACUCUCUCAACCCCUCCUACAUCAAGUGUGUCAGGAACAUUCUCAGGUUAGAAUGCUGUAUCGGGAUCAUCGGCGGCAAACCCAAGCAUUCGCUGUUCUUUAUCGGCUGCCAAGACGAGCAGCUGCUGUAUCUGGACCCUCACUACUGUCAGGCCGGUGGUGGAUGUCACUCAAGACAACUUCCCACUGGAGUCGUUCCACUGUAGCUCGCCCAGGAAAAUGCCCUUUAGUCGCAUGGACCCCAGCUGUACUAUAGGCUUCUACGCCAAGAACAAGAAGGACUUUGAGUCUCUAUGUUCUGCCGUCUGUGUGGCCCUAUCGUCGCCCGAAGAGAAGUACCCCAUCUUUACCUUCGUGGAGGGCCAGGCCCAGGACUAUGGACUGGUGGGCCACAGCUCCUCCUAUCCUCACUCUGACACUGGCCCCGCCCACAUGCUACCCCAAGGCAAGCUCAGCAGGAGCAACAACAUAGGCAGCUCUGACGACUUUGUCUUCUUGUGAGUACUGGUUUGUGUUCCUGAGGAACGAAAUGUAAGCAAACUGGGAAAGACUGACUUAGAAUUUUGGGAUGGAUUCCAUUUCCCUGUUUUUAUAGAGCUCAAAGUGGAUAUAUGCUUUCUGCUGUAUCACAAACUCUGGCAUUUGUGUCCAUCCUAUUCGAUCCGAGGCUUCAACUGAAUCUCACUGUCGGCCUGUCUCUGUCUGGGCAGAAACAGGUCUUAGAAACUAACGCUAGGAAUUACUAAAUUGGACUGUUGCCCCAUCACAAAUGGACCCUAAGCCCUAUACACUUAUGGAGAUCUGACAGGUGUUAAUAUGACUAACUAGGCUAGGUGUAAACUUCACCAUAUUGCUUAUUUAUACCAAUCAAUUCCGCUCAGAUCUCCAAGGCCGUAGGGAUUUGGGAUGGGGCCUCUGACUUCAUUUUGGGAACAAUAACAACUGGAAACACGGAGCCUGUUUGAUACAUGCUACAUGACAGGGGUCACUAGUAGUGGAAGACAAGGUACUCAGCCCUCUUCUCUCUGACUUGUAUUAUAAGACUGCUGUACAAUUUUUACAUUCAUUUCUGUUUUGUAAGAUUUAUUGUGUGUGUGUGAAAUGAUUUGUGUGUGAACUGAAGCUGUUGGUGUGUUGAUUUGCUGUUAUGUUCACAUUCCUCUACUGUACUCUUAUAUUCCCUAUGCCAUCUUAAUUCAGUGUUAUGGCUAUAGUACUAUAUUCAUACUACAUGGCUAUAUGAAUUUCAUUGCAGCAUUCCAACCCUCUCUUUAGUUGUGCUGUCCUUUGACACACCAUUCAGGCAACAGUAAAUGACCUGGACUGGGCUCCCUACAUAACCUCGCUCACUGUUUUCCAGACAUGGGUUCAAAUAGUAUUUGCUUCCCCCCCCAAAAGGUACUUACUUUUUGGACUAUUCUUUUUGCCCUAGCAAGCUCAGAAAACCAAUACUAAUUGAACCCCAGGUCUGCUACACUCUCACACUAUUUCAUCAGCUCUCUCUUGUCAAUUAGUCUACCAGUAUCAACUUGCAACACACUAACAGGAAUCCAAUGUUGUAACAAUUGCCCCUUUUGUGUAAUGUGUUACACUAGCUCCUAUCUGGAUGAUGGGAAAUGAUCCAUUUACCAAGAGGCUAUGUCCAAAAGGACACCCUAUUCCCUACAUCGUGCACUACAUAGAGAAUAGGAUGUAUUUUUGGAUGAGGACAGUUUUUGGUUGUAGUGAGACUUGUUGAAUGAAUGAUUCUGAACUCUAUUCCUUUUAGGGUCCUCGUAAUGUUUUUAACAAGGGGGUGCUGCUGAGUACUGGCACGGGGGGAUACCUCACUUUGGACUCAGAUUUCUUUGCAUUUUUGAACAUGUGUAACUUCAAUUUAUUAUGGUAGAGUUAAAAGCCUUGAACUUUGGAGACCUGCAUAUUAAUAUCUAAGCCAGGGCUGUUCAAUUCUGGUCCUGGAGGGCCAAAACACUUCUGUUUUUUUGUUUCUACCUGGUAGUUAAUUGCACUCACCUGGUGUCUCAGCCAGGUCUCUCCUUAUUAGAAGGAGAGGAUGAAAACCAGGACCGACAUUGAACAGCCCUGAUCUAAGCAUUAAACCCACCAAGUUAGAUAUCAAAGUCACAAGCUCCCUCAACCCCAAAAUAAAAUGAAAUAGUCUGGGAAGUGGUUAAAACACUGUUGAUUGGAUGCUUGAUCUCACAUUUUAAUUAGGCUUCUGACCUGUGUGCAACAGGUAUCCUCUAAGGGGCAAAUCUUGACUUUCACUUAACCUGAAUGUUCACUGAUCAUUCAUUGAAGUCAAUGGGAGAAUAAGUGAGAAUGUGAGGCUAGUGAGUUAGGAUUCACCCCAGUAAUCUGUGUACUUCACUCUUGUCCAUGUGUAUCUUAUCUCAUAAAGGUGACAUUUAUUUUCUAAAUAAAGUGAAGAAUUGGCAUAUGUAGGAAGUCUUAAAUGUGCUAAUGACCACCCUAAUAAGGGACUGCAUUCAUGUGGACAACAUGAUUUUGUAAAACUGUUGUAUAGAAUGUUAUUAAAGGUAAAAAUUUUUGUA